CAAAGCAUAGCUUAACUAAAGCACCCAGCUUACACCUGGAAGAUUUCAUAAUCCAUUGACUGCUUUGA
rnacentral:tRNA from 1 species